AUUGAACGCUGGCGGUAUGCCUUACACAUGCAAGUCGAACGGCAGCGCGGGCUUCGGCUUCUCGGCCAGUGGCGGACGGGCGAGUAAUGCAUCGGUACGUGCCCAGCUGCGGGGUCUAGCCCGGUGAAAGACGGAUUAUUACCGCAUACCACCAGACGGUGUAAGGGUGGGACCGGAAGGCCUUCCGCCCUUGGGCGGGUCGAUGUCGGAUUAGCUAGUUGGUGGGGUAAAGGCUUACCAAGGCGACGAUCCGUAGCUGGUCUGAGAGGAUGACCAGCCACACUGGAACUGAGACACGGUCCAGACUCCUACGGGAGGCAGCAGUGGGGAAUAUUGGACAAUGGGCGCAAGCCUGAUCCAGCCAUACCGCGUGCGGGAAGAAGGCCUUCGGGUUGUAAAGCGCUUUUGUUGGGGAAGAAAAGCUGUAGGCUAAUACCCCGCGGUGAUGACGGUACCGAAAGAAUAAGCACCGGCUAACUACGUG
rnacentral:rRNA from 1 species